UACUCCUAGCAAUGGACAAAGAGACAGCUUGUUGGUGGUGGUGUUCUGUUAUCAGUCAGGGGCAGAGCAGAUGGCGGUCCUCUGUUCAUCCUAGCUUGAUGCCUGGCAUGGUGACCAAAGCUGUCUAAUGCCUAGGACUCAUAA